GGAAAUCCCCACCAGCCUCACAAGAGCUGACUCAAACGGACACCUGAGCAGUAACACAAGCAGCAGCCGGAACUCCUCUGGCAGUUCAAAACUGAGCGAAAAGCUCCAACUCACGAACGUGGCUCAAGGACACUAAUAAUCUGGUAGUAUACACUACAACAUGUUAAACCUUGGUUAAUGUUAAUGUUUAUGUUAGUUUAAAACCGUUAUGAUUAUAUGACAUACUAUGGAGCCACAGGGCCUCACACCUGUUUAAACUGCAGCGCAGGCCCGGACAGCCCCACUCAAAAACCC